rnacentral:lncRNA from 1 species
GAGUGCCAUCGAUGCCAUCGGUGCCAUCUUGGUGUCAUGGAUGUCAUUGGUGCCAUCUUGGCGCCAUUGGGGCCAUCUGGAUGUUCUGGGUGCCAUUGGUGGCACUUGGGUGUCAUGGAGGUCAUUGGUGGCACUUGGGUGUCAUGGGUGCCAUUGGUGGCACUUGGGUGUCAUGGAUGUCACUGGUGGCACUUGGGUGCCAUGGAGGUCAUUGGUGGCACUUGGGUGCCAUGGGUGACAUUGGUGGCACUUGGGUGCCAUGGAGGUCAUUGGUGGCACUUGGGUGCCAUGGAUGUCCUUGGUGGCACUUGGGUGCCAUGGAGGCCAUUGGUGGCACUUGGGUGCCAUUGGUGGCACUUGGGUGUCAUGGAGGUCAUUGGUGGCACUUGGGUGUCAUUGGUGGCACUUGGGUGUCAUGGAGGUCAUUGGUGGCACUUGGGUGCCAUGGAGGUCAUUGGUGGCACUUGGGUGUCAUGGAGGUCAUUGGUGGCACUUGGGUGUCAUGGAUGUCAUUGGUGGCACUUGGGUGCCAUGGAGGUCAUUGGUGCCAUCUUGGGUGCCAUGGAGGUCAUUGGU